rnacentral:rRNA from 1 species
UACGGGAGGCAGCAGUAGGGAAUCUUCCGCAAUGGACGAAGGUCUGACGGAGCGACGCCGCGUGGGGGAUGACGGCCUUCGGAUCGUAAAACUCUGUUGUCGGGGAAGAACAAGUAUCGGCCUAAUACGCCGGUACCUUGACGGUACCUGAUUAGAAAGCCCCGGCUAACUACGUGCCAGCAGCCGCGGUAAU